rnacentral:rRNA from 1 species
GGGGGGGGGGGGGGGGGGGCGGAGGGCGGGCGGGUGGGGGGGAUGGAGGAGAAGCGUGCUUCUCUGGUGUUAGCGUCGGACGGUUGAGUAACACGUGGAGAACCUAGCUAUAAGACUCGGGUUCGUUUUGGACAACGUAGCUAAUAACGGAUUGUAUUUUGGACCUCAUUGUGCACCCUCGAUAGGUGGUCUUGCUUGCCCUUCUAUAUGGAUCCGCGCUGCAUUAGCUAGUUGGUAAGGUAACGGCUUCACAAGGCAACGAUUCAUAGCCGACCUGAGAGGGUGAUAGGCCACACUGGAACUGAGACACGGUCCAGACUCAUACGGGAGGCAGCAGUAGGGAAUCUUCCGCAAUGGGCGAAAGCCUGACGGAGCAACGCCGCGUGAGUGAUGAAGGUCUUCGGAUCGUAAAACUCUGUUAUUAGGGAAGAACAUAUGUGUAAGUAACUGUGCACAUCUUGACGGUACCUAAUCAGAAAGCCACGGCUAACUACGUG